GAUGAACGCUGGCGGUAUGCUUAACACAUGCAAGUCGAACGGACUCUUCGGAGUUAGUGGCGGACGGGUGAGUAACGCGUGAGAAUCUGGCUUUGGGUUCGGGACAACCACUGGAAACGGUGGCUAAUACCGGAUGUGCCGAGAGGUAAAAGAGAAAUUGCCUGAAGAUGAGCUCGCGUCUGAUUAGCUAGUUGGUGAGGUAAAGGCUCACCAAGGCAGCGAUCAGUAGCUGGUCUGAGAGGAUGACCAGCCACACUGGGACUGAGACACGGCCCAGACGCCUACGGGAGGCAGCAGUGGGGAAUUUUCCGAAAUGGGCGAAAGACUGACGGAGCAAUACCGCGUGAGGGAAGAAGGCUCUUGGGUUGUAAACCUCUUUUCUUAGGGAAGAACAAAAUGACGGUACCUAAGGAAUCAGCAUCGGCUAACUCCGUG
rnacentral:rRNA from 1 species